UACGUAGGGAGCAAGCGUUGUCCGGAAUCAUUGGGCGUAAAGAGCUCGUAGGCGGCUCGUUGCGUCGGCUGUGAAAACCCGCAGCUCAACUGUGGGCUUGCAGCUGAUACGGGCGGGCUGGAGUUCGGUAGGGGAGACUGGAAUUCCUGGUGUAGCGGUGAAAUGCGCAGAUAUCAGGAGGAACACCGGUGGCGAAGGCGGGUCUCUGGGCCGAUACUGACGCUGAGGAGCGAAAGCGUGGGGAGCGAACAGG
rnacentral:rRNA from 1 species